CCGGCACGGUGGGUAACACGUAUCCAACCUGCCGUCUACUCUUGGACAGCCUUCUGAAAGGAAGAUUAAUACAAGAUGGCAUCAUGAGUCCGCAUGUUCACAUGAUUAAAGGUAUUCCGGUAGACGAUGGGGAUGCGUUCCAUUAGAUAGUAGGCGGGGUAACGGCCCACCUAGUCUUCGAUGGAUAGGGGUUCUGAGAGGAAGGUCCCCCACAUUGGAACUGAGACACGGUCCAA
rnacentral:rRNA from 1 species